UACGUAGGGUGCGAGCGUUGCCCGGAUUCAUUGGGCGUACAGCGCGCGCAGGCGGCGCGGUGCAUCCCGCGUGAAAUCGCCCGGCUCAACCGGGCGGGGUCGCGGGAGAUGGCCGCGCUGGAGCACGGGAGGGGGCAGUGGAAUUCCCGGUGUAGUGGUGGAAUGCGUAGAGAUCGGGAGGAACACCAGUGGCGAAGGCGACUGCCUGGACCGUGGCUGACGCUGAGGCGCGAAAGCGUGGGGAGCGAUCCGG
rnacentral:rRNA from 1 species